GCGUAGCCAAGUGGUAAGGCAACCGGUUUUGGCCCUGUUAUCCGGAGGUUCGAAUCCUCCCGCCUCAG
rnacentral:tRNA from 1 species